AUGCUUGGGAGCCUCAGCUUCCUGGACCUGGGCUCCAACCGGCUGUCCGGUGCUCUCCCCACAGAGUUAUCAGGAUGCCGGAACCUCACGUUCGUCGACCUCCACGACAAUGCCAUCGCCGGCGUGCUGCCGUCAGGGCUCUUCAAGGAAUUGCUCUCGCUCCAGUACCUUGACCUCUCCUACAAUGCCAUCUCUGGCGCGCUCCCGUCCGACAUCGGCCUGCUCACUUCGUUGACAAAGCUCAUUCUCAGUGGCUACCGGCUGUCCGGAGCGAUGCCACCGGAGAUUGGCUCGUGCUCCCGCCUCCAGCUCCUCGACGUCGGCGGCAACUCGCUGUCCGGUCACAUUCCGGGGAGCAUCGGCAAGAUUCCGGGAUUGGAGAUCGCCCUUAACCUCAGCUGCAACAGCUUCUCCGGCUCGAUGCCAGCGGAGUUCGCAGGGCUCGUGAGGCUUGGGGUGUUCGACGUGUCACACAACCAGCUCUCCGGCGAUCUCCAGGCUUUGUCUGCGCUACAGAACCUCGUGGCGCUCAACGUCUCCUUCAACGGCUUCUCCGGCCGGCUUCCGGAGACGGCGUUCUUCGCGAAGCUUCCGACCAACGACGUCGAGGGCAACCAGGCACUGUGCCUCUCGCGGUGCUCUGGUGGUGCAGGCGACCGUGAGCUCGAGGCACGCCGCGCCGCUCGUGUCGCGAUGGCUGUCCUGCUCACCGCCCUCGUCGUCCUCCUGGUGGCCGCGGUGCUCGUCCUGUUCGGGUGGCGCCGGCGCGGCGAGCGUGCCAGCGAGGACAAGGACUCCGAGAUGUCGCCGCCGUGGGACGUGACGCUGUACCAGAAGCUGGACAUCGGCGUGGCCGAUGUGGCUCGCAGCCUCACUCCGGCGAACGUGAUCGGCCACGGGUGGUCCGGCGCGGUGUACCGUGCUAACAUCCCGUCGUCCGGCGUCACGGUCGCCGUCAAGAAAUUCCAGUCAUGCGACGAGGCGUCCGUGGAGGCGUUCGCGUGCGAGAUCAGCGUGCUGCCCCGGGUGCGACACCGCAACAUCGUCCGGUUGCUGGGAUGGGCGUCCAACCGCCGGACGCGACUCCUCUUCUACGACUACCUCCCGAACGGCACUCUCGGCGGCCUUCUGCACGGUGGCGCUGCCCUCCGUCAAGCUUCCGGUGGGACUCGCCGGCCGGCGGGGGCAGAGCGGCGGAGUGCACUUAAGGUGUUCGUGGAAAUGAGAGAGAGAGAGGAGGAAGAAGAUUGA
rnacentral:rRNA from 1 species